rnacentral:rRNA from 1 species
CGAAGAUACAGAGGGCGCGAGGCGGAUGCCUUGGCGCGGGAAGUCGACGAAGGGCGCGGCAAGCUGCGAUAAGCCGCGGGGAGGCGCAAACGGCCAUAGAUCCGCGGAUUCCCGAAUGGGGGAACCCAGCAGGGGCAAUGCCCUGCUACCGGCCGCCGAACCCAUAGGCGGCCAGGAGGCAACCGGGGGAACUGAAACAUCUAAGUACCCCGAGGAAGAGAAAUCAACCGAGAUCCCGGGAGUAGCGGCGAGCGAAACCGGGCCAGCCCAAACCGGCGCGCGUGCAAGCGUGCGGGCGUUUCCGCGCCGGUGUUGUUGGGCGGGGCAACCGAGGGCCGCAUCCCUCGGCCGCUGUUACAAACCAGCCAUCUAGGGGAACGGCCUGGGAAGGCCGGCGGAACAGGGUGAGAGCCCCGUACCCGGAAGGUCGCUGGCAGCGGGUCUCCGGCCCAGAGUAGCGCGGGGCACGUGAAACCCCGCGCGAAGCAGGGGGGACCACCCUCCAAGGCUGAACACUCUCCCGCGACCGAUAGCGAACCAGUACCGUGAGGGAAAGGUGAAAAGCACCCCGAGAGGGGAGUGAAACAGCGCCUGAAACCGCGCGCCCACGAGCAGUCGGAGCACCCAUCGCGGUGUGACGGCGUGCCUUUUGUAGAAUGAGCCAGCGAGUCACGAUGCGCGGCGAGGUUAAGCUUUGAAGCGAGCCGCAGCGAAAGCGAGUCUUUAAGACGGCGAUUUUUAGUCGCGCGUCGUGGACGCGAAGCCGGGUGAGCUACCCAUGGGCAGGCUGAAGCGGGGGUAAGACCCCGUGGAGGGCCGAACCCACUUCGGUUGAAAACGGAGGGGAUGACCCGUGGAUAGGGGUGAAAGGCCAAUCAAACCCGGAGAUAUCUCGUUCUCCCCGAAAUAGCUUUAGGGCUAGCCCCGGCCGUUUUCCCGCGGCGGUAGAGCACUGGACGGAGGAGGGGGCCUCACCGCCUACCGAUGCCGACCAAACUCCGAAUGCCGCGAGACCAAAGGCCGGGAGUCAGAGCAUGUGGGCUAAGCUGUGUGCUCGAGAGGGAAACAGCCCAGACCGCCCGCUAAGGCCCCCAAGUCAUCGCUGAGUGGCAAAGGAUGUGCGUCCGCCCAGACAACCAGGAUGUUGGCUUAGAAGCAGCCAUGCAUUCAAAGAGUGCGUAACAGCUCACUGGUCGAGUGGACAUGCGCCGACAAUUCACGGGGCUAAGCGAUGCGCCGAAGCGGCGGAAUGUAUUAAACAUUGGUAGGGGAGCUUCCCCUGCGCGGCGAAGCCGGAGGGCGACCGACGGUGGAGCGCAGGGGAGUGAGGAUGCUGGCAUGAGUAACGAGAGCGGCGCGGGAAACGCCGCCGCCGUAAGCCCAAGGUUUCCUGGGCAAGGCUAAUCCUCCCAGGGUCAGUCGGGAGCUAAGGCGAGGCCGGAAGGCGUAGCCGAUGCGCAACAGGCGGACAUUCCUGUACCGCCUCGGGACCGCUACGACCGAAGGGGCGACGGAGAAGGGUACGCAGGCGGGGUUCUGGACGCCCCCGUGAAAGCAUGUAGGCCGCAGGGCAGGCAAAUCCGCCCUGCGCACAAGGCCGAGACGCGAGACGAAGCCGCAAGGCGAAGCUGCGGAGCCCACGCUCCCUGGAAAAACCCCUAGGCAGGGCCCGAGGCGCCCGUACCAAAACCGACACAGGUGGGCGGGUAGAGCAUACCGAGGCGAUCGGGGGAACCAUGGUCAAGGAACUCGGCAUAAUCGCUCCGUAACUUCGGGAGAAGGAGUGCCGCUGCAGGUGGAGGGACACCGCUCCCCGAGCCCGCGGCGGCCGCAGCGAAACGGCCCAAGCGACUGUUUACCAAAAACACAGGACUCUGCCAAGCCGCGAGGCGAAGUAUAGGGUCUGACGCCUGCCCGGUGCCGGAAGGUUACGCGGAUGCGUUAGCGUAAAGCGAAGCGCUGAAGCCAAGCCCCGGUAAACGGCGGCCGUAACUAUAACGGUCCUAAGGUAGCGAAAUUCCUUGUCGGGUAAGUUCCGACCUGCACGAACGGCGUAACGACUUGGGCGCUGUCUCGACCAUGGACCCGGUGAAAUUGCACUAUUCGUGAAGAUGCGAAUUACCUGCGGAAGGACGGAAAGACCCCGUGAACCUUCACUGCAGCUUGGCAUUGGCCGUUGGCUCGGCGCGUAGAGGAUAGGCAGGAGGCUUGGAAACCGGGGCGCCAGCCCCGGCGGAGCCGCCCUUGGAAUACUGCCCCCUCCGUUCCGGCGGCCUAACGCGGCGCCUUGCAUCAGGGCCGCGGACCGUGCCAGGCGGGUAGUUUGACUGGGGCGGUCGCCUCCCAAAGAGUAACGGAGGCGCGCAAAGGUUGGCUCAGGACGGUCGGCAACCGUCCCGAGAGCGCAAGAGUGCAAGCCAGCUUGACUGCGAGGCGGACGGGCCGAGCAGGUGCGAAAGCAGGCUCUAGUGAUCCGGCGGCCCAGAGUGGAAUGGCCGUCGCUCAACGGAUAAAAGGUACUCCGGGGAUAACAGGCUGAUCUUGCCCAAGAGUCCACAUCGACGGCAAGGUUUGGCACCUCGAUGUCGGCUCAUCGCAUCCUGGGGCUGAAGUCGGUCCCAAGGGUACGGCUGUUCGCCGUUUAAAGCGGUACGCGAGCUGGGUUCAGAACGUCGUGAGACAGUUCGGUCCCUAUCCUCCGCAGGCGCAAGUGGAUUGAGGAGGUCUGCCCCUAGUACGAGAGGACCGGGGUGGACGGACCUCUGGUGCAGCGGUUGUCGACCAACGGCACGGCCGCCUAGCUACGUCCGGCACGGAUAACCGCUGAAGGCAUCUAAGCGGGAAGCCGUCUCCGAGAUGAGUCCACUCUCCGGUAAGGGCCCAGGUAGACCACCUGGUCGAUAGGCCGCAGGUGCAAGCGCGGCGACGCGCUCAGCCGAGCGGCACUAAUAGCCCGAGCUCUUCGCAUC